rnacentral:lncRNA from 1 species
GUGAUGCAAUAUAAUAUGGUUAUUGAGCUCAAUCUAGUCGAUAUUCACACGUACCGUAUGUCUAGUUAAUUUGGAUGACUUUAAUUAAGACUCCCUAGACCUCUACCUACUCUGAGAACAACUCUGAAAGCCCUGCUAUGCAUGGCAGAUUGGAAGAUGCUGUAACAAUAUUACAAAAUAAGACUGUACUUGGUGUUUGAGAGCUGAUGUAUCCCAUGGUCUUAUGAUAUUCAUUUUUUUUUAUCUACUGUAUAGGAGCUUUAUAUGGGAGCAUAGCAGCUGCUUUUAUGACUCCUGCUCCACAUCCUAAACCAAAUAUAAUACAAGCUUUGGGGCUUGUCGGCAGAUAUACCUUACUAAUAGGUAAGUCCGGUGUAGUAUGCAAUCCAGCACUCCAGUGUGAUGAUGUAACGUCUAAAAAAUUGUAAUGACUAAUAUAUAUAGUUAUUUGUGUUCUACUGCAGCGGUAGUCUAAAUGUAGUCUGAAUUGUCUAUCCAGUAUGUUGUC